rnacentral:rRNA from 1 species
UUGGAAGUAAAAAUCGUAACAAGGUUUCCGUAGGUGAACCUGCGGAAGGAUCAUUACCUAGAGUUUGUGGACUUCGGUCUGCUACCUCUUACCCAUGUCUUUUGAGUACCUUCGUUUCCUCGGCGGGUCCGCCCGCCGGUUGGACAACAUUCAAACCCUUUGCAGUUGCAAUCAGCGUCUGAAAAAACUUAAUAGUUACAACUUUCAACAACGGAUCUCUUGGUUCUGGCAUCGAUGAAGAACGCAGCGAAAUGCGAUAAGUAGUGUGAAUUGCAGAAUUCAGUGAAUCAUCGAAUCUUUGAACGCACAUUGCGCCCCUUGGUAUUCCAUGGGGCAUGCCUGUUCGAGCGUCAUUUGUACCUUCAAGCUCUGCUUGGUGUUGGGUGUUUUGUCUCGCCUCCGCGCGCAGACUCGCCUUAAAACAAUUGGCAGCCGGCGUAUUGAUUUCGGAGCGCAGUACAUCUCGCGCUUUGCACUCAUAACGACGACGUCCAAAAGUACAUUUUUACACUCUUGACCUCGGAUCAGGUAGGGAUACCCGCUGAACUUAAGCAUAUCAUAAA